AGCUUGCUCUUAUGGGUGGCGAGUGGCGGACGGGUGAGGCAUCGGAAUCCUUUUCGUGGGGGAUAACGUGGAAACUUACGCUAAUACCGCAUACGACCUUCGGGUGAAAGCAGGGGACCUUCGGGCCUUGCGCGGAUAGAUGAGCCGAUGUCGGAUUAGCUAGUUGGCGGGGUAAAGGCCCACCAAGGCGACGAUCCGUAGCUGGUCUGAGAGGAUGAUCAGCCACACUGGAACUGAGACACGGUCCAGACUCCUACGGGAGGCAGCAGUGGGGAAUAUUGGACAAUGGGCGCAAGCCUGAUCCAGCCAUACCGCGUGGGUGAAGAAGGCCUUCGGGUUGUAAAGCCCUUUUGUUGGGAAAGAAAAGCAGCUGGCUAAUACCCGGUUGUUCUGACGGUACCCAAAGAAUAAGCACCGGCUAACUUCGUGCCAGCAGCCGCGGUAAUACGAAGGGUGCAAGCGUUACUCGGAAUUACUGGGCGUAAAGCGUGCGUAGGUGGUUGUUUAAGUCUGUUGUGAAAGCCCUGGGCUCAACCUGGGAAUUGCAGUGGAUACUGGGCGACUAGAGUGUGGUAGAGGGUAGUGGAAUUCCCGGUGUAGCAGUGAAAUGCGUAGAGAUCGGGAGGAACAUCCAUG
rnacentral:rRNA from 1 species